UUUUGUCAACUCAAGGGUUUUUGAAGUGUUUUGUUUUUUAAUGUCCCCGUGAUAUUUCUGUGUUCUCAGCCUUCCUGGAUUCGGUGACCAGUCUCCCAUUCUGUUGCCGUGUGUGACCAGGGUGGUGUCUGUAUCAUUUCUGCUUUUUUUUUUUUUUUCCAGCGGACGGAAGCUUUUCUUUCUGAAAAAGCUCCCUGAACGUGGAAAUGCGUGUGGAUUCUCCGUGUUUUGGGUGCAGAGGACAGGAACCUGCCUUGUCAGCUGCGUCUGUGCAGGAGACGGGUUCAGAGCGUUUGGGAAAUGGUAACUUUUGUUCCCGCUGAGACGGGCGGCCUGCAGGGUGGUGUGGCCAAGCGACACAGAAGAAUCAUACAGCCUCAGGGGAAACACGGCAUCGACUCUGGGAAAAUAGGAAAAAACAAUCACAGGAAAAUAAAAAACAAAACAAAACAA